rnacentral:rRNA from 1 species
UACGUAGGUGGCAAGCGUUGUCCGGAUUUACUGGGCGUAAAGGGCGUGCAGGCGGUCUGUUAAGUCUAGGGUGAAAGCUCCCGGCUCAACUGGGAGAGGUCCUUGGAUACUGGCGGACUUGAGGGAGGCAGAGGAAAGUGGAAUUCCCGGUGUAGUGGUGAUAUGCGUAGAUAUCGGGAGGAACACCAGUGGCGAAGGCGGCUUUCUGGGCCUUUAC